GAAACAGCAUUCUGGCAAAUCACAGGCAUUUAAUAAGCAGCCACUCAGCCCCAGGGGCCAUGUUGGACAUUGUGGGUUGAAGAUCUCCCGACCUUGAAGGACUUUCCGGUGUAGGGGACACAGGUGUGCUGAAGAAGUCUGUUCAAGUUCCAGCAGGGAGCCACCAAUUCUGGAAAGUUGGAGAAAGUUCUACAUGCUGAAGCCAUAGGGAAGAGUGAUGCAUCUAAUGAGCCUGCUGAAGAGUGAAGGCAAUGAGAGUCCACCUGUUCAAUCUGCUGUCUGCCUGAAGGCAGGAUGGGCUACAUCAAUGGGCUCCAAUACUCUCUGCCUUCUGGCUGGGUUUGGCAAGUGGGAGGCCGUGCAGAGAAACAGAAGGAAGUUGACAGUGACCUCAGCAUAUUCACUCAACUGACACCUCUCUAACAGAUUACCUCAGGCUGACUGCAUCCCCCAGUUGAAGAUGACAUCUUCUCUCAAGGCAGCCUCCUCUAUGUGACUCUCCUUCCAGGUUCUGGUAGCUGCUUCCUUCCCCAAAGCUCCAGACCCAGGGAUGACAGCAGCUCUGCUGAUAUUUGCCCUGGGAUAAUGCACCAUCUCUUAUGCCUCCUGUAUGUCCACAGCUCCACAAGGAGUCACUCUGUAAAUAAACCCUUGCAAAAUCAUGCCAGUUUGCCUGUGACAUCUGCUUCCUUAACUGACAGAGCUCUUUAUAAAACAGAGGUGAAAAACUGAAGGACAAAACCAUUGUUAAAGGAAAGUAGAAUCCCAGGACCCCAAACUCACUAUGCCAGAGAAAGUUAAGCUUGGCAAAUGAGUCACAUAAAAACCGCCUUCCGUUUGUUCCCAAACAAAUAGCUGUAAUUUCACAUGCUUACUUUAGCUGAUGUAAAAUGUAGAUUUACUGGGCCCCAGAUGAAUGCAUAAUUGACUUUUCUCUACUCAUGUGUAAAAUGUAGAUUUACCAAGCACUAACCAGAACCUCACAAGAAUGUAACCACUUGCCUUGUUGCUUACUUUUUUCUCUUCCCUCCUGCUUGCUCUUUCCCUUUUAAAUACCAAAGUUCCCAAAACUCUCUUUGGAAAAAGCACAGGUCACAAAUUCUACUAUGAGCUGUGUUUGUUUUUCCUGGGUGCUUUCUCAGCCUUGGCAAAAUAAACUUCUAAUUCAUUGAGAUCUGCCUCAGUCACUUUUUGGUUUGCACUUUCUUCUCCUCUCCACCUAGAAAAAGAAUCAUAGAUAGUGUAUUCAAAGUGUAUUGUGCCCUAACGCAUAAAGUACACGUCAAAUGAGAGGUUUUUACGUUUGUACGACUGAUUUUUGAGACAGGGUCUUGCUCUGUCACCCAGGCUGGAGUGCAGUGAUGUGAUCAAAAUUCAAGGCAGCCUCGACCUCCCCUG
rnacentral:lncRNA from 1 species